rnacentral:SRP_RNA from 1 species
GCUGGGCGUGGUGGUGUGUGCCUGUAGUCCCAGCUACUUGGGAGGCUGAGGCAGAAGAAUCACUUGAACCCAGGAGGCGGAGGUUGCAGUGAGCCAAGAUCGUGCCACUGCACUCCAGCCUGGGUGACGGAGUGAGACUCAGCCUCAA